GUGCCUAAUACAUGCAAGUAGAACGCUGAAGAGAGGAGCUUGCUCUUCUUGGAUGAGUUGCGAACGGGUGAGUAACGCGUAGGUAACCUGCCUUGUAGCGGGGGAUAACUAUUGGAAACGAUAGCUAAUACCGCAUAACAAUGGAUGACACAUGUCAUUUAUUUGAAAGGGGCAAUUGCUCCACUACAAGAUGGACCUGCGUUGUAUUAGCUAGUAGGUGAGGUAACGGCUCACCUAGGCGACGAUACAUAGCCGACCUGAGAGGGUGAUCGGCCACACUGGGACUGAGACACGGCCCAGACUCCUACGGGAGGCAGCAGUAGGGAAUCUUCGGCAAUGGGGGCAACCCUGACCGAGCAACGCCGCGUGAGUGAAGAAGGUUUUCGGAUCGUAAAGCUCUGUUGUAAGUCAAGAACGAGUGUGAGAGUGGAAAGUUCACACUGUGACGGUAGCUUACCAGAAAGGGACGGCUAACUACGUGCCAGCAGCCGCGGUAAUACGUAGGUCCCGAGCGUUGUCCGGAUUUAUUGGGUGUAAAGCGAGCGCAGGCGGUUUGAUAAGUCUGAAGUUAAAGGCUGUGGCUCAACCAUAGUUCGCUUUGGAAACUGUCAAGCUUGAGUGCAGAAGGGGAGAGUGGAAUUCCAUGUGUAGCGGUGAAAUGCGUAGAUAUAUGGAGGAACACCGGUGGCGAAAGCGGCUCUCUGGUCUGUAACUGACGCUGAGGCUCGAAAGCGUGGGGAGCGAACAGGAUUAGAUACCCUGGUAGUCCACGCCGUAAACGAUGAGUGCUAGGUGUUGGAUCCUUUCCGGGAUUCAGUGCCGCAGCUAACGCAUUAAGCACUCCGCCUGGGGAGUACGACCGCAAGGUUGAAACUCAAAGGAAUUGACGGGGGCCCGCACAAGCGGUGGAGCAUGUGGUUUAAUUCGAAGCAACGCGAAGAACCUUACCAGGUCUUGACAUCCCGAUGCUAUUUCUAGAGAUAGAAAGUUACUUCGGUACAUCGGUGACAGGUGGUGCAUGGUUGUCGUCAGCUCGUGUCGUGAGAUGUUGGGUUAAGUCCCGCAACGGGCGCAACCCCUAUUGUUAGUUGCCAUCAUUCAGUUGGGCACUCUAGCGAGACUGCCGGUAAUAAACCGGAGGAAGGUGGGGAUGACGUCAAAUCAUCAUGCCCCUUAUGACCUGGGCUACACACGUGCUACAAUGGUUGGUACAACGAGUUGCGAGUCGGUGACGGCAAGCUAAUCUCUUAAAGCCAAUCUCAGUUCGGAUUGUAGGCUGCAACUCGCCUACAUGAAGUCGGAAUCGCUAGUAAUCGCGGAUCAGCACGCCGCGGUGAAUACGUUCCCGGGCCUUGUACACACCGCCCGUCACACCACGGGAGUUUGUAACACCCGAAGUCGGUGAGGUAACCUCUUGGAGCCAGCCGCCUAAGGUGGGAUAGAUGAUUGGGGUGAAGUAA
rnacentral:rRNA from 1 species